GAUGAACGCUGGCGGCGUGCCUAAUACAUGCAAGUCGAGCGAACAGACGAGGAGCUUGCUCCUCUGACGUUAGCGGCGGACGGGUGAGUAACACGUGGAUAACCUACCUAUAAGACUGGGAUAACUUCGGGAAACCGGAGCUAAUACCGGAUAAUAUAUUGAACCGCAUGGUUCAAUAGUGAAAGACGGUUUUGCUGUCACUUAUAGAUGGAUCCGCGCCGCAUUAGCUAGUUGGUAAGGUAACGGCUUACCAAGGCAACGAUGCGUAGCCGACCUGAGAGGGUGAUCGGCCACACUGGAACUGAGACGCGGUCCAGACUCCUACGGGAGGCAGCAGUAGGGAAUCUUCCGCAAUGGGCGAAAGCCUGACGGAGCAACGCCGAGUGAGUGAUGAAGGUCUUCGGAUCGUAAAACUCUGUUAUUAGGGAAGAACAAAUGUGUAAGUAACUAUGCACGUCUUGACGGUACCUAAUCAGAAAGCCACGGCUAACUACGUG
rnacentral:rRNA from 1 species